rnacentral:rRNA from 1 species
GUGUCAGCAGCCGCGGUAAUACAGAGGUGGCAAGCGUUGUUCGGAAUUACUGGGCGUAAAGGGCGCGUAGGCGGCCUUGUAAGUCCUGUGUGAAAUCCCCCGGCUCAACUGGGGAACUGCACAGGAGACUGCUUGGCUUGAGUUCGGGAGAGGGAAGCGGAAUUCCGGGUGUAGCGGUGAAAUGCGUAGAUAUCCGGAGGAACACCGGUGGCGAAGGCGGCUUCCUGGACCGACACUGACGCUGAGGCGCGAAAGCCAGGGGAGCAAACGGGAUUAGAUACCCUAGUAGUCC